rnacentral:lncRNA from 10 species
CCAGGGGACACCUCUCCUUUCCAUCUCAUGGAGACGAUGGCACCUGCCAUGUCACGUCAUCUCUCAAUGUUUCCUCCAAAACCAACCAAGAACAAGAUGAAAGAAUAAAGCAACACAAAAAACACACCCUCAGCAUAACGUGAAGAUAGGGAAUGCCUAAGCUUCAAAAUAACGUGAGAAAUCAGAAAACAGGCGAGGGGGAGAUUUUCCCUAAGUGCCAGCAUCAACAGUUCUCUGGACUCCCAUCUGAGGAUCCUUCCCAGCUCCAUGAGGCAGCUUGCCAAGCUGAACACCGUGGGAGGAGACUGGACUCUUGCUCAGAGCUCUUUUGGGUUUCAGUGCAAAUGACUCAGGAGGAUUCCUAUACCCCAGAAAAUCAAACUCCUUACAAAAGAAAACACAGCUAUAAGUGUUGGUGGGAAAGUCCUCUGAACUAGGAAAUGUUAUCGCAUUAAAUUAAUCUUCCUAAAUGAGCCCAAGAUGUCUGCUCCACAUCAUCAGAAAGCUAGGAAUGUUCUGGAAUGGUGGAGAAAUUAAGCAGAACAUCCUCCUACCUUCAUUUAUGAGAGCCCUAAAACUAUCCCAGAUAAAGAAAGGCUCCCAGUUAGAGAGCAAAAACAGCAAGUAAGCACUACAUGCCAACCCUGCUCAAUCAGUAGCAGUUGACUGGUCUGCUGUGUUAGGUAGGAUUCUGGGGUCCUGUCCUAGCUCAACCUGAAAGGGUGCAGUGAUCAAUAUGUGGAGUCUGCUUUGGCCAUGGUAAGGGUGGCAGCACCAUGCCAGGCAUUUGCCAUGUCUCUUUUAGAACCCCAAACAAAUCUGAUUUACUUUCCUGGGACAAACGCUCACUCAUUCUACCAAUGCCGGUCUGUUUCAUUCCAUCAGUUUCCUUGUAUAAAAUCUGAGGCAAAUGUCUCCUUUGUGAUAGUUGACACUGUUGAACUGCGGGAUAAACUGCUUUGCUAUGUAUGGUGGUACUAGGACCUCAUCUCAGAAUCUCACUCACUCAUACGCUCAGUACGCACAAGUUGAGUGUCCGCUAGAUGCCAGUCAUUGGAAGUGGAGAGAUUUAGCAAACCAGUGGUAUUGCAUAUAAGAAUAAUUAUUUUUCAAGGUUGCUAAUUCAUAAAAUAUUAUGUGCCACACAAAACUUAACAUUAAUACCCACCAUUUUUUUAUCUGAAAUUAACAUACCCUCAGUUAAGGGACCAAUAAUGACAGUGUAUAACAAUUGAUUAUAAUUAGUGUCUUGAAUAUUUAUUGCUUGGACAGCUAUAUUUUGAGGAAAGUGUCUUUAAACAAAAUAGCUAAAUAUUGGUUAUCUUUAAAGUUCAUUAAAGUUGCUAACUUAGAAAAAAAAUCUAACAGAAUAUACAAUAAUCAUUCACCAAAAGCUGCAUGUUUAAUAAAUAUUUAUUAGAAAC